rnacentral:rRNA from 1 species
AACGUAGGAGACAAACGUUAUCCGGAGUUACUGGGCGUAAAGGGCGUGUAGGUGGUAGUGUAAGUCUGGCGUGAAAUUUUUCGGCUUAACCGGGAAAGGUCGUCGGAUACUGCACAACUAGAGGACGGUAGAGGCGUGUGGAAUUCCGGGUGUAGUGGUGAAAUGCGUAGAUAUCGGGAGGAACACCAGUGGCGAAGGCGGCUUUCUGGUCUGCUCUUGACGCUGAGGCGCGAAAGCUAGGGUAGCAAACGUG